rnacentral:piRNA from 1 species
AAUUUGAGAACUAGAUAGCACCUCAUCUU